AAUGACUAGGAUAUUUCUACGAGCCCGGUGCUUUCCUGGAGCCCACCGUCCCUAUAUAACAGCCAGCAAAUUUGAGAGCUACAUAUCAAAGGAUAGAAGGACCAAAAGACCAAAAGAUCAAAGACUCUGCAAUACGUGUACCAAGAGAUUUAUUUGGAAAAUCCUGAGAGCUGUGCCUUCUGUUGUUGACCUGAAAAACUCAAACAAGCAAUAAAAAUGGACCCAGUCACCACCUACGCUGACCAUGACCAUAAUUGCCCCGAGCCAUCAAGGCCUAAACCUACUGAGGGGUGGAGUUGUACCAUUCUCUAAUUCAAGCUGCCUCAGAAGAAGGAACGCUUUUAUUAGCUGAUCUAGCUUAGAUACAUAUCAUAGUUCAAAUGCGAAUUGUGUUUGUCAAAAAUGUAAUGUAAGCCAGAAGACUAUUAAUUUUACACAAUUAUCUGGUAAUUAAAGCUCAUUAACAGCUAUUAUUCAGCUUUGAAAUUAGCAACUCUAGGUCAAGUUGUUAUGGGCACACAUAAGCUCUUAAUAGUACCACUGUUAGCCUCGAUCCCAGGCCCUUGGAAAAGAGGGCCUGGUUCUCUCCUUUCCUGGUGGCCUGGGAUCGAGGCUACUACACCACUGUAUGAGCUAGUAGCUUACUGACCAUCACUUUGCAUUCUCCAUACAAUAUACGUAGGUCAUGGCCAUUCCAAGUAGAUCUGACAGACAGCAAUCUGGAGAGUAUAUUCAUGCAAUG